CUAGCACUCAGGAGGUAGAGACAG
rnacentral:piRNA from 1 species